rnacentral:rRNA from 1 species
CGGCACGGGUGAGUAACACGUAUCCAACCUGCCGUCUACUCUUGGCCAGCCUUCUGAAAGGAAGAUUAAUCCAGGAUGGCAUCAUGAGUUCACAUGUCCGCAUGAUUAAAGGUAUUUUCCGGUAGACGAUGGGGAUGCGUUCCAUUAGAUAGUAGGCGGGGUAACGGCCCACCUAGUCAACGAUGGAUAGGGGUUCUGAGAGGAAGGUCCCCCACAUUGGUACUGAGACACGGACCAA